AGUGAACGCUGGCGGUAGGCCUAACACAUGCAAGUCGAACGGCAGCACAGUAAGAGCUUGCUCUUACGGGUGGCGAGUGGCGGACGGGUGAGGAAUACAUCGGAAUCUACUUUUUCGUGGGGGAUAACGUAGGGAAACUUACGCUAAUACCGCAUACGACCUACGGGUGAAAGCAGGGGAUCUUCGGACCUUGCGCGAUUGAAUGAGCCGAUGUCGGAUUAGCUAGUUGGCGGGGUAAAGGCCCACCAAGGCGACGAUCCGUAGCUGGUCUGAGAGGAUGAUCGGCCACACUGGAACUGAGACACGGUCCAGACUCCUACGAGAGGCAGCAGUGGGGAAUAUUGGACAAUGGGCGCAAGCCUGAUCCAGCCAUACCGCGUGGGUGAAGAAGGCCUUCGGUUUGUAAAGCCCUUUUGUUGGGAAAGAAAAGCAGCAGGUUAAUACCCCGCUGUUCUGACGGUACCCAAAGAAUAAGCACCGGCUAACUUCGUG
rnacentral:rRNA from 1 species